rnacentral:rRNA from 1 species
AGUGAACGCUGGCGGUAGGCCUAACACAUGCAAGUCGAACGGCAGCACAGUAAGAGCUUGCUCUUACGGGUGGCGAGUGGCGGACGGGUGAGGAAUACAUCGGCAUCUACUUUUUCGUGGGGGAUAACGUAGGGAAACUUACGCUAAUACCGCAUACGACCUACGGGUGAAAGCAGGGGAUCUUCGGACCUUGCCCGAUUGAAUGAGCUGAUGUCGGAUUAGCUAGUUGGCGGGGUAAAGGCCCACCAAGGCGACGAUCCGUAGCUGGUCUGAGAGGAUGAUCAGCCACACUGGAACUGAGACACGGUCCAGACUCCUACGGGAGGCAGCAGUAGGGAAUAUUGCACAAUGGGCGCAAGCCUGAUCCAGCCAUGCCGCGUGGGUGAAGAAGGCCUUCGGAUUGUAAAACCCUUUUAUUGGGGAAGAAAAGCAGCAGGUUAAAACCCCGCUGUUCUGACGGUACCCAAUGAAUAAGCACCGGCUAACUUCGUG